rnacentral:rRNA from 1 species
AGGAUGAACGCUGGCGGUCUGCUUAACACAUGCAAGUCGAACGGAGUAGCAAUACUUAGUGGCGGACGGGUGAGUAACGCGUGAGAAUCUACCUUCAGGACGGAGACAACAGUUGGAAACGACUGCUAACCCCCGAUGUACCGAAAGGGCAAAUAUUUAUAGCCUGAAGAAGAGCUCGCGUCCGAUUAGCUAGUUGGAGAGGUAAAAGCUCACCAAGGCGACGAUCGGUAGCUGGUCUGAGAGGACGAUCGGCCACACUGGGACUGAGACACGGCCCAGACUCCUACGGGAGGCAGCAGUGGGAAUUUCCGCAAUGGGCGAAAGCCUGACGGAGCAAGACCGCGUGGGGGAAGAAGGCUCUUGGGUUGUAAACCCCUUUUCUCUGGGAAGAACGCAAUGACGGUACCAGAGGAAUCAGCAUCGGCUAACUCCGUGCCAGCAGCCGC